rnacentral:rRNA from 1 species
AUUGAACGCUGGCGGCAGGCCUAACACAUGCAAGUCGAACGGCAGCACAGAAGAGCUUGCUCUUUGGGUGGCGAGUGGCGGACGGGUGAGUAAUGUCUGGGAAACUGCCCGAUGGAGGGGGAUAACUACUGGAAACGGUAGAUAAUACCGCAUAACGUCGCGAGAACAAAGUGGGGGACCGUCGGGCCUCACACCAUCGGAAGUGCCCAGAUGGGAUCAGAUAGUAGGUGGGGUAAUGGCUCACCUAGGCGACGAUCCCUAGCUGGUCUGAGAGGAUGACCAGCCACACUGGAACUGAGACACGGUCCAGACUCCUACGGGAGGCAGCAGUGGGGAAUAUUGCACAAUGGGCGCAAGCCUGAUGCAGCCAUGCCGCGUGUAUGAAGAAGGCCUUCGGGUUGUAAAGUACUUUCAGCGGGGAGGAAGGCGGUGAGGUUAAUAACCUCGCCGAUUGACGUUACCCGCAGAAGAAGCACCGGCUAACUCCGUGCCAGCAGCCGCGGUAA